ACUGACUCUCUUUCGAUGUCUGUGUGUGCCGGUUAAUAAGUCCAGAUCAAAGAAGAGUUCAGAGAAGCUGAUCUUCGACAGCAGCCGGGGGAAGGACAAAACGAAGUAAAUGUUUCUCAAGACAAUCCCUGAGAUCCCUGAGAAGAGCAGGAAAGCAGAUAUUUACGUCAGUCUUCUGAGGCAAAGAUACGCCCUUUCUUUAACCAACAUGGUUUCCACAUAAAAGUUGACUGCUGGACACAGAGUCAGACUCACUGUGCUGGCAGGAGGAAUGAGGCGCCCAAGAUUUGGUCCUUCCAGGCAUCGGCUCCAAGCAGGAGGGCGAGCCAGCCCAGCCUAUCGAAACAACGGGAAAGUGUUCAGACUCACAGACCCUCGCAUCCCCAACACCUGAGCAGGGUGUCAGGUGCAUGAAAGCAAAUAUGAAAAACAAAAACUAUUUAGACCGAUGUUCAUGUGUGAGUGUUUUCUAUGCAGCCAGCAGAGUUUGAGACUUGGGUCUGUGACACAGGAGCCUUCAGUGAUUCACUUUUCAAAAGGUAAAGGUUCUCAAAGUGAACUGUUUUCUUCAGGAUUCAAGAUUCUUUACUUUUGUGUCAGUUUGUUUUAAUAAAAACAUUCAUCUACGCUCACCGGCUUUUUUAAGUUUUAGUAAAAUGAUCAAGGAUGUUGUUGUUGCACUUUGUGUGCGUUUGUCUAGAUCUCUCAUUCAUUCAUCACUUAAAUUAAAUUUGAUUGGAUAGAAGUGAGCUGGGGCUCUAAAGGUCAAGAUGUGCCUGAGAUGAUUACACUAUAUACAGUACAGCUUGGAAAGCAUUCACAGUGUUGAAUACUUACAUGCUACAUGUUUUUUUAAAUACAUUUUUAAGAUUUUCAGUCAAAUUUUUUUCUGUUUGUCAUUAUGGUCUAUUAUAUGAAGGUUUUGAAUAAGGCUGUACAAACUGCAGAACAAGUGAAGUGCUGUGAACACUUUCCACAUGCACUCUACAUUAUAAAUAAUAAUAAAAAAUAAAUGUCAUAAAAGUGAAUGAGUAAGACAUUAUCCCACAAGCAAAACAUACACAUACACAACAAAAUAUACACUAAAGUUUUGACUAUAACGAAACAUCACUUCAGACCUUUUUUCUUUGAGAAAAUGUGUAUUACAUUUCCUCAAAGAAAAAAAAAACUCUCCAUAAGAGAUUUAGAGUUGUGAAACUUGGACUAGUUCAGUCAAAAAUAAUUGGAGUUAUUAAUUUUUAAUUUAUGUGGAUUUGUGAACUUUUAUUUGAAUUUCUGUGUGUUUGGAUCACUGUGUUGUUCAUUUUAUUUGUUUAUCUUUGUUCCUUCCUUUUUUGUUGAUUUGUUUAUGUUGAAAAAAAAACCCAACAACAACACAGAACUGAAAAGGUUUCAAGCUGUAGCUCAGAAAUAAUUCUCAUAAAAUCGGGCUGCCAUCAGUUUACAAUAAAAGUGAAAGAAUUACUCAAACUGCAGCGUGGAUCUUGUGAAGGCCAG
ensembl:lncRNA